AGUGAACGCUGGCGGUAGGCCUAACACAUGCAAGUCGAACGGCAGCACAGUAAGAGCUUGCUCUUACGGGUGGCGAGUGGCGGACGGGUGAGGAAUACAUCGGCAUCUACUUUUUUGUGGGGGAUAACGUAGGGAAACUUACGCUAAUACCGCAUACGACCUACGGGUGAAAGCAGGGGAUCUUCGGACCUUGCGCGAUUGAAUGAGCCGAUGUCGGAUUAGCUAGUUGGCGGGGUAAAGGCCCACCAAGGCGACGAUCCGUAGCUGGUCUGAGAGGAUGAUCAGCCACACUGGAACUGAGACACGGUCCAGACUCCUACGGGAGGCAGCAGUGGGGAAUAUUGGACAAAGGGCGCAAGCCUGAUCCAGCCAUACCGCGUGGGUGAAGAAGGCCUUCGGGUUGUAAAGCCCUUUUGUUGGGAAAGAAAAGCAGCAGGUUAAUACCCCGCUGUUCUGACGGUACCCAAAGAAUAAGCACCGGCUAACUUCGUG
rnacentral:rRNA from 1 species